GUGACGCACAGUAGAGCCGCCCUGCCUAAUUUACACCGUGCUGUGAAUGAUAGACAGGGAGGCAGGCAUUUCGGCAGACAGCCUCUACUGCUGUGUGUCUGCGUGUCCUCAAAGCCGACCGUACGACCAGGCCCACUGACUGACCCUCGGCCUGAGACAGUCCGGGGAGGAUAGGAAGGAAAACAGCCCCAACAAAGACUCUCACAUGGCUGGAGAGAAAAAGAGAGGGAGCUAAUGGAGGAAAAAACACAGCCUCCCAAUCCAUCUGCUGAGUAAGGACCUGAGCCCUAGGACCAUGCCUCAGGACUACCUGGCAUGAUGACUCCUUGCUGUCCCCAGUCCACCUGGCCGUGCUGCUGCUCCAGUUUCAACUGUUCUGCCUGCGGCUAUGGAACCCUGACCUGUUCACCGGACGUGCUUGUUGCACCCUCGACAACUACUAUGAUUAUUAUUAUUUGACCAUGCUGGUCAUUUAUGAACAUUUUAACAUCUUGACCAUGUUCUGUUAUAAUAUCCACCCGGCACAGCCAGAAGAGGACUGGCCACCCCUCAUAGCCUGGUUCCUCUCUAGGUUUCUUCCUAGGUUUUUGGCCUUUCUAGGGAGUUUUUCCUAGGGAGUUUUUCCUAGCCACCGUGCUUCUUUCACAUGCAUUGCUUGCUGUUUGGGGUUUUAGGCUGGGUUUCUGUACAGCACUUUUAGA
rnacentral:lncRNA from 1 species